GUCAGUGGCCACAAGGUGGGCACAGCAGGUUGGUAAUUAAUCCUUAGUUUUUAGGGAGAGAUGCGCAUCCUAAGGGAAUUCUGAUGGGGGGGAGGUCCAUCCGUGUCUUUCAGGGCCUCGUUCUUGCCUUUGAGGCAUUCUCAGUGUUUGCGGAUGUACAAUGCAUGCUCCACAGGCCACAUCACGUCAGGCCCUUUUGGAAAAACAAGGUCAGCCCGAAUUAGUUUUGCUCCUCUUCUUAGAAGGACACCAGUCUGUGGCAUCAGGGCCCACCCGGACGGCCUCAGUGAACCGUUAUCACCCCCAUAGGCCCCAUCUCCAGGUGCAGUCAUGUUGGAGGUUAGGCCCUCCACAGGUGAACGUAGGGGGACAUGACUCAGCCCAGGACGGACGGGCUGGCCUGGGGGGGGGUGCGCGCCUGAGGAGAGGGGAGGGCCCAAGCUGGCCGGAAGCGGAGUGUCCACUGGCACUGGGACGUGUGCCCCGCUAGAGACCCUGAGAGCAAAUACGCCGGCCGCAGGAGGAUGACUUCUCUGCUCCAAGUGAACCCUGAAAACGCCUUCUGAUUUGGGGUGAAGCUGAAGAGAUCGGCGAGGACAGGCUGGACGCGGAAAUGCUGGCGGGCCGGCUUUGAUUGCUGGGCUUCAGGCUUUUAUGACCCCCCAACACCGUGGAUCAGCCUCCGGGUCCCUCUCUGCCACACAUGGGACAGGCCGUGUGAUCCGUGCCUCUGCUGCUGCUUCUGCUGUCCCUCUGCCUGGGGAAGCUGGUCACACCCGGGCCACAGCCCUCGCCCCUGGCCUCCCUCCUUCGCGGGUGCCUGUGCAGAGCGGGCUCUGAGCUGAGGCCCCGAGGCCUCUUGCAGUUUGCUCAUCCGCUUGCUACUUCAAGCCUCAUGUGCAAAGCAGGAAGAUGCUAGAACCUCUGCCCAGGCUGAGAGGGGAGGGAAUGUGAAAAGUCCCAGAAGGGCUCGGAAGAUGCCUGACCAGGAAGGUGCUGCUGCCCUCCGGAGUGGAGCUGGGGUCAUGACGGAGCCACUCUGCAUCCCAGUCACC
rnacentral:lncRNA from 1 species